GACGAAGGGGGCUAGCGUUGUUCGGAAUUACGUGGCGUAAAGCGCGUGUAGGCGGUUGUUCAAGUCAGGUGUGAAAGCCUUGAGCUCAACUCAAGAAAUGCACUUGAUACUGGAUGACUAGAGGACCGGAGAGGAUAGUGGAAUUCCCAGUGUAGUGGUGAAAUACGUAGAGAUUGGGAAGAACACUAGUGGCGAAGGCGGCUAUCUGGACCAGCACUGACACUGAGGCACGAAAGCGUGGGGGAGCAAACAGG
rnacentral:rRNA from 1 species